UGUCCGGAGUCAUUACCCUGUGUGCUACUGGACCAGUCACAAGACAUCCUGGAGGAAGAGGCCCCGGGUGCUAGCCUGUGGCCCACCACAGUGACCUUCCUCACCCUCUUCCUACUGAGCCUGUUCUACAGUACAGCACUCACUAUUACGACUGUGUGUGGCCCAUUUGGCAGCAAAGAGGCCCCCCAGUACUGACCAGGAACCAGCCACGGGCGGCAGUCAUGGAGAUGGGACAACACCUGGAGAAGGUCCUCUAUGCUUCAGAACUAAGGCCUGUGUGACCACUUCCCACCCCCACUCACACACUCUCCUGAGCAAUAAAGCGAUGCCGAGAAAGCACAAUGUCUUACUCUCAAAGACAAACAUCGACAAAGGACGGAAGGGGGUCAGAGAAAAUGUGUGUGACCAUGUUAAAUUAGUGUGCUUUCGUCACAGAAUUCGGGGGUGUUGAGCAGUGUAGACACAGGGUGCCCUUUGUCGAGCGUCUGAGACAUAACUUGGACAUACGUGUGGCUGAAGCCUGAGCUGAAGACUGGCUUCAUCAAGUGUACUUGUGACCUCUUCAGACCUGAUGCCAGGUUGUUAAGCUUGACCUCUGGACCUGAUUUCUAAACACUUGGCCUCGGUGCUUUUCACCAAGGGUAGACAACCUUAACGAGCACAGGACACCAAACCCUGAUCCUGGUUGUGAACUGUGGUCCUGAUCAUUGAGCCCUAAUUUUUGUAACUGAACCUUGAUCCUGAUGAGUGACCCACAAUCAUGACCAUGAGGCCCUGGUCCUGAUUCCUUGUCCUUAUCCCUCAUUCUACUUACUGGUCCCUCCCUGGUCCUGAAUCCUGAUCCCUGGUUCAUAUCGCUGAAUCCUAGCCCUGUUCUCAGAUUACUGGUCCUCUUCACCUAGCCUAGUCCAGAUCACUGAAUCCUGGUCAUGAUCACUGGGUCUAGUCCUCAUUACUGAGCCCUAGUCUUGAUCACUGAUCAUUGGUCUUGAUCAUUAACAACCAAGCUAAUCACUAGACCCUGUUCCUAAUCUCUGGCCCAUGGUACCAGUCACUGGGUCCUGAGCUGAUCCCUGAUCCUAAUCACUAAGCCCUGUUUCUAAACAGUGUAUAGUGAAAUGUAUAGUAAAGCAUUUGUGUCUGCUUUGAGUGAAAUGUUUGAGCAAAGCCCUUGCUAUGCUUGGGUUAAUCAGUAGAGACUGAGAAAUUGUUUUGGGGCUGUGUGAACCUUGAAGAAAUGUUGUCUCCCUGCACUUGAUGCUACAUGAGAGCUUGCAGCUACACAAACCUUGGUCCUAAGACACUCCUGGCAUAAAUUUUGAUUGUGGCUAGCCAUGGUUGAAAGGGACUGAGAUUUGGGGAAGUCAUCUGUUCUCUCAGGCAACAAGGGCAAGAUAAUUUUGGUAGUCAGAACCCUUCCCAGCCCCAAUUAACCUUGUAUGAUUAAAUAAAGUAACUGGAGUGAGCUAGCUGGGGUAAGUAUUUUUCAAGAAAACUGAACCCCUCUGCUACUUCAGAAAAUAAAGGCUUAGCAUCUUG